rnacentral:rRNA from 1 species
GACGAACGCUGGCGGCGUGCUUAACACAUGCAAGUCGAACGCUGAAGCUCAGCUUUUGUUGGGUGGAUGAGUGGCGAACGGGUGAGUAACACGUGAGUAACCUGCCCCCUUCUUUGGGAUAACGCCCGGAAACGGGUGCUAAUACUGGAUAUUCACUGGUCUUCGCAUGGGGGUUGGUGGAAAGGGUUUUUCUGGUGGGGGAUGGGCUCGCGGCCUAUCAGCUUGUUGGUGGGGUGAUGGCCUACCAAGGCUUUGACGGGUAGCCGGCCUGAGAGGGUGACCGGGCACAUUGGGACGGAGAUACGGCCCAGACUCCUACGGGAGGCAGCAGUGGGGAAUAUUGAACAAUGGGCGCAAGCCUGAUGCAGCGACGCCGCGUGAGGGAUGGAGGCCUUCGGGUUGUGAACCUCUUUCGCUCAUGGUCAAGCCGCAACAAUGGUUGUGGUGAGGGUAGUGGGUAAAGAAGCGCCGGCUAACUACGUG